GGCGGCGUGCUUAACACAUGCAAGUCGAGCGGAAAGGCCCUUCGGGGUACUCGAGCGGCGAACGGGUGAGUAACACGUGAGCAACCUGCCCUAGGCUUUGGGAUAACCCCGGGAAACCGGGGCUAAUACCGAAUAGGACCCGUACCGCAUGGUGGUGGGUGGAAAGUUUUUCGGCCUGGGAUGGGCUCGCGGCCUAUCAGCUUGUUGGUGGGGUGAUGGCCUACCAAGGCGACGACGGGUAGCCGGCCUGAGAGGGCGACCGGCCACACUGGGACUGAGACACGGCCCAGACUCCUACGGGAGGCAGCAGUGGGGAAUAUUGCACAAUGGGCGGAAGCCUGAUGCAGCGACGCCGCGUGAGGGAUGACGGCCUUCGGGUUGUAAACCUCUUUCAGCAGGGACGAAGCGUAAGUGACGGUACCUGCAGAAGAAGCGCCGGCCAACUACGUGCCAGCAGCCGCGGUAAGACGUAGGGCGCGAGCGUUGUCCGGAUUUAUUGGGCGUAAAGAGCUCGUAGGCGGCUUGUCGCGUCGACUGUGAAAACCCGCGGCUCAACUGCGGGCCUGCAGUCGAUACGGGCAGGCUAGAGUUCGGUAGGGGAGACUGGAAUUCCUGGUGUAGCGGUGAAAUGCGCAGAUAUCAGGAGGAACACCGGUGGCGAAGGCGGGUCUCUGGGCCGAUACUGACGCUGAGGAGCGAAAGCGUGGGGAGCGAACAGGAUUAGAUACCCUGGUAGUCCACGCCGUAAACGUUGGGCGCUAGGUGUGGGGGGCCUCUCCGGUUCCCUGUGCCGCAGCUAACGCAUUAAGCGCCCCGCCUGGGGAGUACGGCCGC
rnacentral:rRNA from 1 species